AUUGAACGCUGGCGGCAGGCCUAACACAUGCAAGUCGAGCGGAUGAAGGGAGCUUGCUCCUGGAUUCAGCGGCGGACGGGUGAGUAAUGCCUAGGAAUCUGCCUUGUAGUGGGGGAUAACGUCCGGAAACGGGCGCUAAUACCGCAUACGUCCUGAGGGAGAAAGUGGGGGAUCUUCGGACCUCACGCUAUCAGAUGAGCCUAGGUCGGAUUAGCUAGUUGGUGGGGUAAAGGCCUACCAAGGCGACGAUCCGUAACUGGUCUGAGAGGAUGAUCAGUCACACUGGAACUGAGACACGGUCCAGACUCCUACGGGAGGCAGCAGUGGGGAAUAUUGGACAAUGGGCGAAAGCCUGAUCCAGCCAUGCCGCGUGUGUGAAGGAGGUCUUCGGAUUGUAAAGCACUUUAAGUUGGGAGGAAGGGCAGUAAGUUAAUACCUUGCUGUUUUGACGUUACCAACAGAAUAAGCACCGGCUAACUUCGUG
rnacentral:rRNA from 1 species